rnacentral:rRNA from 1 species
AUUACCGAGUUUAAACUCCCAAACCCAUGUGAACAUACCUAUUGUUGCUUCGGCGGGAUUGCCCCGGGCGCCUCGUGUGCCCCGGAUCAGGCGCCCGCCUAGGAACUUUAACUCUUGUUUUAUUUUGAAUCUUCUGAGUAGUUUUUACAAAUAAAUAAAAACUUUCAACAACGGAUCUCUUGGUUCUGGCAUCGAUGAAGAACGCAGCGAAAUGCGAUAAGUAAUGUGAAUUGCAGAAUUCAGUGAAUCAUCGAAUCUUUGAACGCACAUUGCGCCCGCCAGUAUUCUGGCGGGCAUGCCUGUCUGAGCGUCAUUUCAACCCUCAUGCCCCUAGGGCGUGGUGUUGGGGAUCGGCCAAAGCCCGCGAGGGACGGCCGGCCCCUAAAUCUAGUGGCGGACCCGUCGUGGCCUCCUCUGCGAAGUAGUGAUAUUCCGCAUCGGAGAGCGACGAGCCCCUGCCGUUAAACCCCCAACUUUCCAAGGUUGACCUCAGAUCAGGUAGGAAUACCCGCUGAACUUAAGCAUAUCAAUAAGCGGAGGAAAAGAAACCAACAGGGAUUGCCCUAGUAACGGCGAGUGAAGCGGCAACAGCUCAAAUUUGAAAUCUGGCGCAAGCCCGAGUUGUAAUUUGUAGAGGAUGUUUCUGGCGACGUGCCUUCCGAGUUCCCUGGAACGGGACGCCAUAGAGGGUGAGAGCCCCGUACGGUUGGAUGCCUAGCCUCUGUGAAACUCCUUCGACGAGUCGAGUAGUUUGGGAAUGCUGCUCUAAAUGGGAGGUAUACGUCUUCUAAAGCUAAAUACCGGCCAGAGACCGAUAGCGCACAAGUAGAGUGAUCGAAAGAUGAAAAGCACUUUGAAAAGAGGGUUAAAAAGUACGUGAAAUUGUUGAAAGGGAAGCGUUCAUGACCAGACUUGAGCAGGUUGAUCACCCGUGGUUCUCCGCGGUGCACUCUGCCUGCUCAGGCCAGCAUCAGUUCGCUCCGGGGGAUAAAGGCUCUGGGAAUGUGGCUCCUUCGGGAGUGUUAUAGCCCACUGCGUAAUACCCUGGGGUGGACUGA